rnacentral:misc_RNA from 1 species
UCCGGGUUUCGCCCGGCAGUCUCAUUAGAGUGCCCAACUAAAUGUAGCAACUAAUGACAAGGGUUGCGCUCGUUGCGGGACUUAACCCAACAUCUCACGACACGAGCUGACGACAGCCAUGCAGCGCCUGUGUUCUGGCUCCCUUUCGGGCACCCUCGCAUCUCUACGAGGUUCCAGACAUGUCAAGGGUAGGUAAGGUUUUUCGCGUUGCAUCGAAUUAAACCACAUCAUCCACCGCUUGUGCGGGUCCCCGUCAAUUCCUUUGAGUUUUAGCCUUGCGGCCGUACUCCCCAGGCGGGAUGCUUAAUGCGUUAGCUGCGGCACGGACGGAGUCGACACCGCCCACACCUAGCACCCAUCGUUUACAGCGUGGACUAC